rnacentral:rRNA from 1 species
UACAGAGGGGGCAAGCGUUGUUCGGAAUUACUGGGCGUAAAGGGCGCGUAGGCGGCCGCCUAAGUCAGACGUGAAAUCCCUCGGCUCAACCGGGGAACUGCGUCUGAUACUGGGUGGCUUGAAUCCGGGAGAGGGAUGCGGAAUUCCAGGUGUAGCGGUGAAAUGCGUAGAUAUCUGGAGGAACACCGGUGGCGAAGGCGGCAUCCUGGACCGGCAUUGACGCUGAGACGCGAAAGCUAGGGGAGCAAACAGG